rnacentral:lncRNA from 1 species
CUUAGACUCAAGAUGUGCUUUGAGUCUAACUCCUUUGUCCUCAGGACCCUUACUGGAGCCAAGGAAUGCGUGAGAAGUGCCUCCGGGCCCAGCCAGAAGGAAGGUCACGUUGUUUUGAGAUCCCAUAUGCUGCACUGAACACGCGUGAGGUCCCUGUCGGCGCCCUGGCCGUCCAGCGGUAUCUGCCCCAUUUAUUCACAGCCUGAGCGCCCCUGCAUGACACACUGGGCAGUGCCGGGUGUCGGGCCUGCAGCAAGGCACAGUCAGCCAGGCCUUGGAGUCCAUGGAGAGCGAGGACUGCUGUGGACCAGUCAGUGACCGCCAGGGCCCAAAUGUUGGUGGUGACCUCAGCAAUAUCAGCCUUGGAAGAGCGGACACCGGAUGGAAGUGGGCCAGAAGGAGUAUGAAUGUGAAGAGGCAGAGAAACAGGGGGUCGAAAAGUCUCCUGAAACCUGUCUGUGAAGGGCAAAACAGGAGCUGCAGCCACAGAAGCCACCGCGUGAAACAAGGCAGGAGCUGGGAACGCCUGUGUGGCCCAGGCCUCAGCGGCUUCCGGGUGCAGGAGAGAAGAGGUCAGCUCAACAAAAUCAUGUACACAUUGCAAGCCUUCAUCCCAACCGACGCCAAGGACAGUGACAUUGACACCAUCCAGUUUGCCCCUCGUUAGCGAAGCAGGAAGAAGGACUGAGUUAUAGCAGCUCUUAUCCUUUGAGAGCCUGCAUACCUCUCAGAGGUAAAUCACAGUGGAGCCAGGAGGAACUGCUUGCAGGCAGUGAGGCCAGCUGGCAGCCGGCAGUGUGUGCCACCCGUGCUGGCCGGCAGCUGGAGGACAGGGCCCAGGCUUCCCUCUGUGCCUUCGUGCUGGGAGCCCUGGACAUGGAUACAAAGGAAUGCAAAUUAGUGGCAGAGUAAAAACGAUGGGGACCCAGCACAUGCCCAGUGUCCUUGUGAGCAGGACGAGGUUCCUUUGCUGGGGCUACCGUUUCCCUCAUGGCCUUCCUUGUGCUGCAGAAAAUGAUGGGAGUACAGGGCUCUGCAGCCAAGAAAUAGAUGCAAACUGUAAAUCAAAGGCAUCAAAUGUAUGAAUGGAGAGAAAAUGCACUUUGGCUGUAAGAUGAGACAUCUGUUGGGCUCCAUAUAAUAUAAUUAACAACUGGAACCAAGCUGGAGGGAAGGCGGUUGGAGCCCCUUUGGGAAAAUGCCCCAUGUGUAUCAGGCUGACCUCAUGAUGCCUUAGGAAGAUAUUUACAGGGUCACCCGAGACCACCAGGAAGGAAGAGGCUCAUGCUUUUGGGAGGUGAUGUGCAGUAUUCAAAAAUGUUCAGUUUGUCACAGAUAAAGGAGAAAGGGCCGGGGUUAGUUUCUUACACAGAGGAGCGGAUCUUUUCUACUCAGUUAUCCUCUUUCCAUGAUGGAAUUCUGCAUGAACCCUUCCUCACUGUGCUUUCCAGAUACCUUCAGUUUCCUGAUGUAUCUGUCCUUUCACCAAAGGUUUGCUGCUCUGAGACGGGUAUGCUGUGGGUCCUUGCCUUCCAUCAGAUUAGACCAGGGUCCCCCGGGCAGGCUGCAAUGGGUCCUCUGCCCACACCAGGGACCAAGCCCAGAGCCCAUCACCUUCCCAGUGCAGCCCUCAAGUAGAAGGCCCCUCAGUUCUUGGAGAUGAGAGGUUCACACUGCUGUCUUAAGGAAGCCUACUGAUUUCAGACUUAGGGCUAAUUUUGAGUCAAAGGACCAGACUUUACAGGUAAUGUUACAGAGUUAAUGUGAGUUUUAUGGCAAUCCGGGGAAAUGGCCUUCAUUUAAUUGAAAUUGCCAUGGUGUGCUCUUAAAAAAUAAACACGAA